rnacentral:rRNA from 1 species
UGAGGAAUAUUGGUCAAUGGCCGGAAGGCUGAACCAGCCAAGCCGCGUGAAGGACGAAGGUGCCAAGCAUUGUAAACUCUUUUGUCAAGGGACAAAAUCAGGCUCGAGAGCCUGACCGAGGGUACUUGAAGAAAAAGCAUCGGCUAACUCCGUGCC